rnacentral:rRNA from 1 species
AGUUUGAUCAGUGGCUACGAGGACGACGCUGGCGGCGUGCUUAACACAUGCAAGUCGAACGGAGUUAAGGAGCUUGCUUCUUAACUUAGUGGCGAACGGGUGAGUAACGCGUGAGGAACCUGCCUUUCAGUGGGGGACAACAGUUGGAAACGACUGCUAAUACCGCAUGACACUAUCGGGCCGCAUGGUCUGGUAGUCAAAGAUUUAUUGCUGAAAGAUGGCCUCGCGUCUGAUUAGCUAGUUGGUGGGGUAACGGCCCACCAAGGCGACGAUCAGUAGCCGGACUGAGAGGUUGACCGGCCACAUUGGGACUGAGAUACGGCCCAGACUCCUACGGGAGGCAGCAGUGGGGAAUAUUGGGCAAUGGGCGAAAGCCUGACCCAGCAACGCCGCGUGAAGGAAGAAGGCCUUCGGGUUGUAAACUUCUUUACCAGGGACGAAGAACGUGACGGUACCUGGAGAAAAGCAACGGCUAACUACGUG